rnacentral:rRNA from 1 species
CUCCGAAUGCCAUGUACUUAUACUCGGGAGUCAGACUGCGAGUGAUAAGAUCCGUAGUCGAAAGGGAAACAGCCCAGACCACCAGUUAAGGUCCCCAAAUAUAUGGUAAGUGGAAAAGGAUGUGGGGUUGCUUAGACAACCAGGAUGUUGGCUUAGAAGCAGCCACCAUUGAAAGAGUGCGUAAUAGCUCACUGGUCGAGUGACCCCGCGCCGAAAAUGUACCGGGGCUAAACAUAUUACCGAAACUGUGGAUGAACCUCUUUAGAGGUUCGUGGUAGGAGAGCGUUCUAAGGGCGGUGAAGUCAGACCGGAAGGACUGGUGGAGCGCUUAGAAGUGAGAAUGCCGGUAUGA